GACGUAGGGCGCGAGCGUUGUCCGGAAUUAUUGGGCGUAAAGAGCUCGUAGGCGGUUCGUCGCGUCGGCUGUGAAAUCCCGAGGCUCAACCUCGGGUCUGCAGUCGAUACGGGCGGACUGGAGUUCGGCAGGGGAGACUGGAAUUCCUGGUGUAGCGGUGAAAUGCGUAGAUAUCUGGAGGAACACCGGUGGCGAAGGCGGCAUCCUGGACCAACACUGACGCUGAGGAGCGAAAGCCAGGGGAGCAAACGGG
rnacentral:rRNA from 1 species